UUCAGAAUUACUCUAAAUUUCAAAAAGGUUAUACCCAGUGGAUAAUCAGUGAAAAGGGUUACUUCCAAUUCAAUUUAAAUUGAUACCCCAUAUGGUGAAAUUUGGUCCGAUACUAUUUUAAGCAUUGUUAAAUUGCCUUUUUGAAGACACGAUAAGAUGUAUGUCCAUAUUGUGAUUCUUUGAUUAAUACACCCCUGAUGAAGUCUGUAGGAUGAAACGCA